rnacentral:rRNA from 1 species
UAAUAAAUUUGGCGGUAUUUUAAUCUAUCCAGAGGAACUUGUUUUAUAAUUGAUAAUCCUCAUUAUAUCUUACUUAAUUUAUUUAAUUUGUAUACCGUCGUCAUAAGAAUCUCUUAAAAAAGAAAAAAUUUUCUAAAAUUUUUAUUAAUAAUAAUGUCAGAUCAAGGUGCAGUUUAUAAUUAAGAAAAAAUGAGUUACAAUAAAAUUAUUUAUAACGGUUUUAAAAAUUAAAAUUUUUAUUUAAGGUGGAUUUGGUAGUAAAAUAAAAAAUUAAAUUUAUUUGAUUUUAGUUCUAAAAUAUGCACAAAUC